UUUGAUCAUGGCUCAGGACGAACGCUGGCGGCGUGCUUAACACAUGCAAGUCGAGCGAUGAAGUUUCUUCGGAAAUGGAUUAGCGGCGAACGGGUGAGGAACACGUGAAGAAUCUGCCCUCCACUUUGGGAUAACACCGGGAAACCGGUGCUAAUACCGAAUAUUGAAACAUAAGUGGCAUCACUGAGUUUUGAAAGAAUUUCGGUGGAGGAUGACUUCGCGGCCUAUCAGCUAGUUGGUGAGGUAAUGGCUCACCAAGGCAACGACGGGUAGCCGGCCUGAGAGGGCGACCGGCCACACUGGGACUGAGACACGGCCCAGACUCCUACGGGAGGCAGCAGUGGGGAAUAUUGGGCAAUGGAGGAAACUCUGACCCAGCGACGCCGCGUGCGGGAUGAAGGCCUUCGGGUUGUAAACCGCUUUCAGUAGGGAAGAAGCGAAAGUGACGGUACCUACAAAAGAAGCACCGGCUAACUAUGUGCCAGCAGCCGCGGUAAUACAUAGGGUGCAAGCGUUGUCCGGAAUUAUUGGGCGUAAAGAGCUCGUAGGUCGUUUGUUACGUCGGAUGUGAAAACCUGAGGCUCAACCUCAGGCCUGCAUUCGAUACGGGCAAACUAGAGUUUGGUAGGGGAGACUGGAAUUCCUGGUGUAGCGGUGGAAUGCGCAGAUAUCAGGAGGAACACCAAUGGCGAAGGCAGGUCUCUGGGCCAAUACUGACACUGAGGAGCGAAAGUCUGGGGAGCGAACAGGAUUAGAUACCCUGGUAGUCCAGACCGUAAACGGUGGGCACUAGUUGUGGGAACCUUCCACGGUUUCUGCGACGCAGCUAACGCAUUAAGUGCCCCGCCUGGGGAGUACGAUCGCAAGAUUAAACUCAAAUGAAUUGACG
rnacentral:rRNA from 1 species